rnacentral:rRNA from 1 species
AGAGUUUGAUCCUGGCUCAGAACGAACGCUGGCGGCGUGCCUAACACAUGCAAGUCGAACGUGAAAGUCCUUCGGGAUGAGUAAAGUGGCGCACGGGUGAGUAAUGCGUAGAUAAUCUGCCUGGUGAUCUGGGAUAACAUCUCGAAAGGGGUGCUAAUACCGGAUAAGCCCACGGAGUCUUCGGACUUUGCGGGAAAAGGGGGGGACCCUCGGGCCUUCUGUCACCAGAUGAGUCUACGUACCAUUAGCUAGUUGGUGGGGUAAGAGCCCACCAAGGCUACGAUGGUUAGCUGGUCUGAGAGGAUGAUCAGCCACACUGGAACUGAGACACGGUCCAGACUCCUACGGGAGGCAGCAGUGGGGAAUUUUGCGCAAUGGGGGAAACCCUGACGCAGCAACGCCGCGUGAGUGAUGAAGGCCUUCGGGUCGUAAAGCUCUGUCAGA